rnacentral:rRNA from 1 species
UACGUAGGGGGCAAGCGUUGUCCGGAUUUAUUGGGCGUAAAGAGCUCGUAGGCGGUUUGUCGCGUCGGGAGUGAAAAUCCAGGGCUUAACUCUGGACUGGCUUCCGAUACGGGCAGACUAGAGGUAUGCAGGGGAGAACGGAAUUCCUGGUGUAGCGGUGAAAAUGCGCAGAUAUCAGGAGGAACACCAGUGGCGAAGGCGGCUCACUGGCCCGGUACUGACGCUGAGGUGCGAAAGCGUGGGGAGCAAACAGG